rnacentral:rRNA from 1 species
UACGUAGGUGGCAAGCGUUAUCCGGAUUUACUGGGCGUAAAGCGCACGCAGGCGGCUGUCCAAGUCUGACGUGAAAGCUCCUGGCUUAACUGGGAGAGGUCGUUGGAAACUAGAUGGCUUGAGGCGAGGAGAGGGGUGUAGAAUUCCCGGUGUAGUGGUGGAAUGCGUAGAUAUCGGGAGGAAUACCAGUGGCGAAAGCGACACCCUGGCCUUUGCCUGACGCUCAGGUGCGAAAGCGUGGGUAGCGAACGGGAUUAGAUACCCCGGUAGUCCACGCCGUAAACGAUGAAUACUAGGUGUGGGGCGUGUCAAAGCGUUCUGUGCCGAAGCCAACGCGAUAAGUAUUCCGCCUGGGGACUACGGCCGCAAGGCUA